CCUCAAUAUUUCCUGCAAGAAACUAUGGGGGAGGGGAGCAGUGCCGGCUAUACCAUAAGCAAAUAAAACCACUUUUCAUGAUGUAGCUAAGUCAUCGAGAUCAGUCUGGGAGUCAGAGCCAAGAACACCUAAUUCACUUACACUCUGCCAAGAGCAAGAUCCUUAACCAAGAAGCAAAGAGUUUCUCCAGCAUUACAAUUUGGAGGUCCCACCGAGAUAAUAGAAACUGAGAAUUGGAUUAGAGAUUAGAGACCUCUCCGUCUCCACCUAGGCCUGAGGGGGGCUCAGGACCUGGGUCUGUUCCUUGAGAAAAAAAGGAAGCGGUUCUUCAGCCUCAGUCCGGCCUACAGUGGACAACGAAAUCGAUUCGGCAUUCGGGAAAGUAAGUCUGUCUGGGUACCUUUUGGGGUACCAUCUGGUUCUGGUUCUGGUUCUGGUCUGUUCUGUUGUUAGCAACCUGUGGUCUCAGAAUAAAUACCGACGGGUUUAAAAAUUCUGAGACGGGUAUUUUCUGGGACGCUGGAAAAUAUCCUCUGGGUAUGUUAUAUGUUUGCUUAAUGUUGUAACUGUGUAGUCUGUGUGAUAUAUGUUCUAUGUUCUGUGUGGUUUGUCUGUUAUGUUGUUGGUUGGAAAACAACGUUGCAACUGUGCAUAGUAAAUUGGAGCUCCAUGUUUGUUUGUGUGUGUCUGUGUUAAAAGUUAAAAUAAGCUUGUAAGAGAUAAGGAUUCAGCCUCUGUGUUGCAGGCUUAGAAAAUAUCAAGAAGUUUGAAAAAUCUUUCUCUCUCUCUGACUGACUGCAGCAGCCUGUGAGAAGAAGGGAGAAAAGGGAGAGAAAGGAAGAAAUUAAAAAAAAAAAAAAAGGAAAUGAAAAAAAAUAGAUUGAAAGGGAUUUGAAAGUUCGGAAAGUUAUAAUAUAUAUGUAGAAGAGCAGGUGCUAACAUUUAAAGGAAAGACAUUUGAAUGGAAUAUCUAGGCAUUCUCUGUGAAGGCAGAGUAAAGCACUAAAUGGGCUUGGAAGUUCACAGAAGCCCCUUUGGAUUCUGGAAUGGGAAAAAGGAAUUCAAGGUGAAACAAACUUCUCUCUGGGGGUGGAGGUCCUGGAAACAGCCCCUAGUCUGUUUGCUGAUUUAAGAGCUUUGUUAAGUUUUAAGAACAAUGAUUAAGAAAUUUGGGAAUUAGUUGUUUGAAAAAUUUGCUAGUGAUUUUAAAUUUUUUUUAGGAAAAGCCUACUAGAGUAAAGAGCAAUAAAAUUCAAGCUUAGCCUGGCCUGGGCAAUAAAAAGCUCUGGAGAUAAGAUGCUAAUAGCUGUUAGAAGAAAUGUGGUGGAAAAGAAAAAAAAAACUUUUAAAAACAGCUGUAUUAGUUUGAUUCAGUUUGUUACCUUUUGAAAUAUAUUGAGUUAUUUGUUAACAUAAGUUAUACUUUAAAACCAGCUCUGCUGGACACAUGUGAGUUUUGUGGAGGUUUGGGUUAUUCACUAUAGGGUGAAUCUUACAGGUUUUUGAAGGGAAAAGGAAAGAGGAAUGCAGGUGAUUUAGGAAGGACUGAUUUGUAAGGGAAAUUAAAGGUUUGCAUGGUGUUAGGAAGGUGAAAGAAAGACUUUUGGGAGUAGGUGAAGAGGUGGGGGAGGGAGUCACCCACCCCCACUGCCUUCUGCUACUUUACCAAAGGAGCAUCUGGGAAGGAAAGUUCUUUAAGGAGAUUGUUUAAGUAUGUAGUCAGGGGGAAAGAGAAAGUUGGAAAUGGGUGGAUUUUGGAAGAAACCUGAUAUUGGGAAACUGAUGGGUUAAAUCUUGAAAAGGAUCCCCAUGUAGAAAAUUGAGUGGGGAACCUGAGGGAAGUUUUUUCUAGGGGGUCAGGAUUGGAGGAAGGAUGGCCACGUGGAAUCCUCUCCUUCCCUCACCCCCCUGAGUAUGUUCCUGCCGUUUUUUUUCUUAUCUGAUUGCGGGAGUGCAGCUAAGUGUGAUUUUUAAGGACAUACUUACUUUUAGGUUAAAUUGAUUGAAUACUUGUUUUUUUUGAUAGAUAAAAGUUUUCUUGGUUGAGGAAUAUAGUCGUAAAUGUGAUCCAUACUUUGGUACGAAUAUUUCUAAGAGUUUAAUUGCUAUGUUAAAAAAACCUUCUUGAAUUCUUUUAUGUGGAAUUGGGUUUUUGUAUAAGUUUAAAUUGAUUGUAUUGGGUCAUCCUGAGGUUAUUUAAAAGGCCUCUGAACAUAAUAGUUUUUUUCUUUGUCCUUUUGAAAAUGUUUCUGUUAUGGGCAAUAUGCAGUUUGGGAUAUUUUUCUAUGUAUUGGGUAUUUUAAAAGCAAACUGAUUUGUAUGUAUAAUGUUCACUCAUGUAACAUCUACCUAGAUAUGAUAAUUGUUCUAAGUUGUGAACUUACUGAGACGAAAUUUCUUUGUUAUUACUGUAAGGUUAUGGUAACUCUUUAAGAUUUAUCAGAAAUUUGAUUAAUGACAUUUGUUAUUGGAGGUAAAAGUUUUUGGGCUUAGAGUUAAUUAGCUAAUGCUAUUUGGGAGUUUUAAAGCUCCACCCUGUGACAGUUACUGGGACAAUUGAUUGAUAAGCUGUUAAAACUCAACUGCUUAUGUUAUGUUAUAGUUAUGUUCUUGAAUUUUUCCUUCUGUAACUGAUCUCUCUGAUCAGAGCAAUGGUCAAUAGAACUGUUACUGCAAUUCAAUUAUGUCAUGCUUUGCUAUUUUCAGUCUGGUUAUAGGUAAUCAUUGUAUCCUAAAUGCUUGGGCAACUAUUUCGCCUGGUCAUCUGUCUGUUACUGGAUAUUUGUGUUUUGUUUCUUUAAGGUUUCUACAUGAUAAGUGGACAAUUAACAGGGGUCUGUAAGACUGCAGCCAUUUGCUUGGCCUGUAAAGCAAACUCGUCUCUUCACACAGGAAACUGCUGGCCAAUCCAUUUUGGCCUCCUCAUGUUUUGCAACAGUCUGGUGAACUGAGUCUAUCUGAGACUGAUCUAAUCUUUAUGUGUUAGAUUUGUGUUUUGUUCUAGAUUUUGGUCAAAUUACAGAUAUUGACUUGCUUCUGGAACCUGGAUCAGCUUUGAUCAGCUUUGAUUGCCAGCAUGACACACCCACUCUGCAAGGAAUGAGAGCCUCCUGUCAUUUCAUAGCCUGAAGCAGCAGUUUUAAAAUGAGACCAUGGACUGGACCCUGCAUCGACUGUACUUUGGACUGAUAUGAGGGACUUUGGGAAUGGUUGAUGACUGACUGUUAAACCUUGCCUGGAUUAUCUAUUUCUGUGUGUUUAAGAUUUGAUAUGGAUUUGUUAAAACUAUGUAAUUAUUGCUGUUAUGUUUGAGGGCUUUUUAGGAAAUGCUACUGUAUUAGUCUGUUAUGUGUAGGGAUUUUGAUUUGCUCUUGGGAUUUAUAUGGGGAAUGGUCAUUUGAUAAUUCCUUUCCGUGAGAAAAAAAAAAAAAGGGGAGGUAGAGAUAGAACAUUGGGGAAACUGGUAUAUUUUUUUCAAAAUACCUGAAAGAAUGGGAACCCCUAGCUCCUAUUCACUUUGCCUUAGGCAUUUCUGCCCCACCCCCUGUCUCACUAGUUCAGAUUGAAUUUGGAUGCUUUAGUUUUAGAAUCCCUUAUUUUGUUAAAAGUGCCCUGGCAGACUCAGUUUUUGAGAUUAUUUUUUUUAGAAAAGUUUUAGAAAUCAGACACCUGUUGUGACACUGGCAGUCUCUCUGAUCUAUUUUUCCAUUCCUGUAACCCCAGUUCAUUAAGUAUUUCAGCAUUUCAAAGGACCUUGACGUUUGGCUUGAAGCACCUAAAAAGUUUGGAGUUUGCCUGCCUUGAUGGUCUAACUGCAUAAUCUGCUCAGAAAUCUGUAUUCUAAUAGCAGUCCUGUUUCUCUGGGUGGGGACGGAUGGAGCUACUACAAGCCUCAUCCUUCCCUCAUGGAGAGGGCUGCCUCUCUGACUGGGCCUUGGACCCUGCUGCUUUGUAAGCAGAGACUGAGUUAAGUGCACAAAUGACCACAGACCUAACUGUCCAUCUCAAACUGGAUUCUCUGGCUGAGAUGGUGCUCCAGAACUGGAAAGGACCUGACAUGCUUGCAACAAGGGAGCCUUUGUACAACUGUUAACUCUGGGGUUAUCAGGGAGAGACUUGCUCUCUUGCCAUACGAGUCCUUACAUUUUUUCUAGUUUUAUUUUUGGCUCAUUUGCUUUACAUAAGGUGGGUCAAAGACCUCCUGGGUACCUAGAGGAAGGUGCUAAGAUUCAAAGGUUUGAAUAUUUAGGAGAGAGAAUGUGGAAUGUUAUGCCACAGUUCUCUUUAACUGUCCUGACUCAGUUUCCCUGUCUCAGUUUCCUUAACUGUUCUGUCUCUGACCCAGUAAAACUAAGGAUUAUUCGCUCUCGGGUUAUAAAUUAGCAAGAUAAAAGAGUAGCUCUCCUGACUCUUUUAUGGAUUUACAAUAUCCCUUAAAAUAUUCCAAGAUAACCCACGAUAUCUUUACUUCUUUGUCUCUGGAAUUUUUAGGUUUUAUGGCUUCCCCUCCCUGAUAAAAACUUUCCCUCCCUUUCUCUUCUUUGUCUCCAAAAAGGUAUUUAAGAAGUUGGAGUUCCUCCAUUCAUUGCUAGAAAAUGGCGUCUGGCAGCUGUAUGCUGGACGCUGGAUUCUUUGGGUCCUCCAGCCCUGGGACCAAUAUGGAUUCCUUGGUCCCAGUAUACUUAUCUCUGUCUGACUGGAUAAUCUGAGACGAGAGUCCUGUCCAGUCAAUCUUACUCUCCCAUUAAUAAAAUAUUAAAACUCUCUAA